rnacentral:misc_RNA from 1 species
GAUGAAGAACGUAGCGAAAUGCGAUACGUAAUGUGAAUUGCAGAAUUCAGUGAAUCAUCGAAUCUUUGAACGCAUAUUGCGCUCUCUGGUAUUCCGGAGAGCAUGCUUGUUUGAGUAUCAGUAAACACCUCAACUCCCUUUUCUUUUUUGAAAUUGGAGCUGGACUUGAGUGAUCCCAACGCUUUCUUCCAAGAAAGUGGCGGGUUGCUUGAAAUGCAGGUGCAGCUGAACUUUUCUCUGAGCUAUACGCAUAUCUAUUUAGUCUGCCUAAAAAACAGAUUAUUACCUUUGCUGCAGCUAACAUAAAGGAGACUAGUUCUUGUGCUGACUGAUGCAGGAUUCACAGAGACAGCUUCGGCUGACUUUGUAAACUCGAUCUCAAAUCAAGUAAGACUACCCGCUGAACUUAAGCAUAUCAAUAGCGGAGGA